rnacentral:misc_RNA from 1 species
ACCGCGUCCGCGCAGGAACUUUCCCUGACCUGCCGCGCGCGCCUCCCCAUCCCUCCUCGUCCCUCCUCCCACGCGGACAACACGGCUCCUUUAAAAACCCCGUCGCCAGGCACGAGGGGGCAGAGCAGCAACAGCAACCAGCAAGCGGCAAGCGCGCGCACACACCAAACGCAACUGCAACUGCAACUGCAAGAGCACGCCACAGCAGAAACCAACAGUUCCACACGAAGCAAAAAAAGGGGACCCUACCCCUCUGCCGAUUUCCAUCCGCCGCCGUCGUCUGUGACCGACCAGACCAUGGACAAGAUCCUGGCCUUCUCCAUCCUGAGCUCGUCGCCGGCGGACAUCUCCGCGGCCGGCCUCUCCUCCUCCUCCUCCGCCGCCCGGCUCUCGUGGCGGGCUCGGCCCCAGGCGGCGGCGGCGGACGCGGCGCCAACGCCGAGGCAGGAGAAGGCGGCCGACCAGCGGGCCCCGGCGGCCGAGCGCCGGCGGGAGACGCGGCCGCGGUUCGCGCCCGAGUUCGACGGGCUGCACUGCUUCGAGUCCAUCGUCUCCGCCUGAACUUCGAGGGGCCUCCUCGUCACAUGCCGCCCCCGCGCUUGGAUUCGUUCCUGUCGGCGGUCACCGAGUGAAAAGGCGACGGCGACGAGUAAUUUGUACAGACCUGUUGUACUGUAUACCGCACCCAAAAAGUGAAUGGAUUACCUUCGUUUCAUACUUUGGUUUCGUUAUAAGGUUUGGUCCGAUGCGUCUUCGGCCUUCAAUUGUGGCAGAAGAUGGAAUUUGUGGGAGGUUCCCAUGAAUGUGAUCACCUUCGAUUCGAUUCGACACUGAAGUUGCUCUGUUCGUCGUCCUACUCUACGAAAAGGCAAUGGUGGUUCUUCUUCGGGGGAGAAACAAUAAAUAAACAUAAGAUGGAUGACGGAUUUGUUGUGCACUGAUUGGAUGAUGUAACGUCGUCCCGUGGAUGAUGCUGUGUCGGAUUAUCCAUUGGAGCACGACAAGUACCAGUUUUUAAGUAGAGUGUAGCAAUAAUUUAACUCGUCUGGUCAUAAACGAAGGCACCGGCAGCGCGUACACGUUACCCCCCAGCGGCCCAGCCAUAUGAUGAAACUGACGCAUGUGCUGUCGCGCCUCGCGACCAGCCAUGGAACUGAACGGGACAGUUCGGCUUGGGUUCAUCCACCGGCAGAUUACCUGGAGCUGGAGGACUCGGUUUCAAAUUGGAGACCAUCCAUCCAUUUCGGUACAGAAAAAAAAAUGCAGAGGACAGGAACAAAUAAAUGUUCCCCAUCCCACCUGGUAAUUGAGCAGUUCCCUGUAUGUACAACACGCGGAGUCCCAAUUAUCUGUGUUGGGACAAUUAAUCCACCAUAAGGUAAAAAAAACAUAGUAGACAGGAUUGGUCACGUGGUUAACUCGGGGGGCGCGUCGGCCGAGCCCGGAUUGUUGAUCAGCGCGACACGAUGGUUCCGAACCAGUCGAUGCCGUCAAACUCCGGCGCGAACCGCGGUGGCGCCGCCGCCGCUCCCCCUCCGCUCGCGUGAGCUCCGCCGUCGCGGGAGCGCAAGUCUCGCUUCUCCCUGUCCUCGUCCUCCUCCUGCUGCUGCUCCCGCCGCGGCGCACGCUGGUCGUCCGCGCCCCUCCGCCACGACAGCCGCGCCCAGCUCCCGCCGAAGCCGGCGCCCGUGGAGGAGAGGUCGGCCGGCGACGCGCUCAGGAUCGAGAAGGCCAGCACCUUGUCCAUGGCGAUCGAGGAACGGAAGGAAGGUUGCUCUCG